GACGAACGCUGGCGGCGUGCUUAACACAUGCAAGUCGAACGGAGUGGCGAACGGGUGAGUAACACGUGGGUGACCUGCCAUGCACUUCGGGAUAAGCCUGGGAAACUGGGUCUAAUACCGGAUAGUGGGGGAUGGGCCGGCGGCCGGUCCGCUUGUUGGUGGGGUAAUGGCCUACCAAGGCGGCGACGGGUAGCCGGCCGGUAAGGGUGGACGGCCACAUUGGGACUGGAACACGGCCCAGACCAGUACUGGGGGCAGCAGCGGGGAAGAUUGCACCAUGGGCGGACGCCUGAUGGAGGGACGCCGCGGGGGGGAUGACGGCCUUCGGGUUGGAAACCGAUUACACCAUCGACGCGGUAGAUGGAGAAGAAGCACCGGCUAACUACGUGCCAGCAGCCGCGGUAAUAC
rnacentral:rRNA from 1 species